GGUCCGGUGGUAUAGUGGUUAGCACGUCUACUUUCACUGUACAAUUUACUACUAGGAUCUAAGUGGAAAGUCUUUGUUCGAUUCGAAGUCGGGUCA